rnacentral:rRNA from 1 species
GACGAACGCUGGCGGCGUGCCUAAUACAUGCAAGUAGGACGCAGUUGCGAACGGGUGAGUAACGCGUAGGUAACUGCCUAUUAGAGGGGGAUAACUAUUGGAAACGAUAGCUAAUACCGCAUACUAGUAGAUGGACCUGCGUUGUAUUAGCUAGUAGGUAGGGUAAUGGCCUACCUAGGCGACGAUACAUAGCCGGCCUGAGAAGGGGAUCGGCCAAACUGGGACUGGUGCACGGCCCAAGCUCCUUCUGGGGGCAGCAGUAGGGAAUCAUCGGCAAUGGGGGGAACCCUGGCCGAGCAACGCCGCGUGAGUGAAGAAGGUUUUCGGGUCGUAAAGCUCUGUUGUUAAGGGAGCGGUACUUAACCAGAAAGGGACGGCUAACUACGUGCCAGCAGCCGCGGUAAUAC